CAAACCUCUCUACUCGGGGAAAUUUCCCUAUGGAAAAUACAAAUCCCCAAUUACUACCCAACAUGUGCAAGAUAUAAAACCUUACUGAGCGCUCUGGAUCUGCAUGAGAUGUUACAAAUUACCAGGCUCACAGCAUGCUGUGUGGAGAUUCGGGAGCAGAAAAGGCAGGGAGAAAAGAGAAGAAAAAGCCCCACUGUGGUUGCUUUCAAUGUCCGAAGUCAAGUAACUUUAAAGAGGUUUUCUUGAUUUCUUUUUCCUGUGGCCUCUUCAAUGAUAAAGGCAUUUAGAAGACCAGAAUAAGAAAAAAAUGAAAAAUAUUGAUCUUCUAAA